rnacentral:rRNA from 1 species
UACGGAAGGCAGCAGGUGGGGAAUAUUGCACAAUGGGCGAAAGCCUGAUGCAGCUAUGCCGCGCGUAUGAAGAAGGGCCUUAGGGUUGUAAAGUACUUUCAUCGGGGAGGAAAAACAAAACUAAUAAUUUUAUUUCUUGACGUUACCCGAAAAAGAAGCACCGGCUAACUCCGUGCCAGCAGCCGCGGUAAUACGGAGGGUGCUAGCGUUAAUCAGAAUUACUGGGCGUAAAGAGCACGUAGGUGGUUUUUUUAAGUCAGAUGUGAAAUCCCUGGGCUUAACCUAGGUAACUGCAUUUUGAAACUGAAAUACUAGAGUAUCGUAGAGGGAGGUAGAAUUCUAGGUGUAGCGGUGAAAUGCGUAGAUAUCUGGAGGAAUACCUGUGGCGAAAGCGGCCUCCUAAACGAAUACUGACACUGAGGUGCGGAAAGCGUGGGGAGCAAAACAGGGAUUAGAUACC